rnacentral:rRNA from 1 species
UACAGAGGGGGCAAGCGUUGUUCGGAAUUACUGGGCGUAAAGGGCGCGUAGGCGGCCUUUCUAAGUCGAACGUGAAAUCCCCGGGCUCAACCCGGGAACUGCGUCCGAUACUGGAAGGCUUGAAUCCGGGAGAGGGAUGCGGAAUUCCAGGUGUAGCGGUGAAAUGCGUAGAUAUCUGGAGGAACACCGGUGGCGAAGGCGGCAUCCUGGACCGGUAUUGACGCUGAGGCGCGAAAGCCAGGGGAGCAAAGCGGG